rnacentral:lncRNA from 1 species
AAUAAAAUAAAGAAAAAAGGAAUGAAAAGCUAGUCAUUUCUCCCCCUCACUCCGGCCAUCAUCAUCCUUGUUUCGCUGGUGAAAUGCUCUCGCUGGUGAAAUGCCCUCGAAAAAUUUGUAGACAAAUCAGAGUAAAGGGAAACAACUUUGGAAAUGUUUCUCACGCUCUCUCUGUAAAUCGACAAUUGCAACACACACGCUCUCAACUACAGCACACGCUCUCUCUGUUGUUCCUCACAACACACGGCUCUCUCUCUCCUCCCUCCAAAUCCAAUAGCCGUGGGUUACUCUAGCUCUCCCCCCUCCAAAUCCAAUAUCUAUGGAUGCAUAAUAGAGUAAAUAGCAAUCCCCAUCCACUCUAGUAACAGAAAAUGACAGCUUCUGUGAUUGUGGUGAAAAGUUUCCCCUAGUAAUGCUAAGUACAGCGAGGAAACCAGCAAGGAAACCAUCAAUUCUCUACACAUAUAGAUGCCAAAAGCAAGCAGUGAAUUGCAUCAGAUAUUAGUGAAGAAUAAUUGCCAACCGUAAACUCAGCUCCUUCAGUUGCUAGUGUAUACCAAUAGAGCAAUAGGUUGUGUUUGGGGAUGUUAGAUGUAGAAAUAAUUGACGCAAAAUUCUUUUAUACAAUUGUUGGCUUGUGUCGACUUUUUGAAAGGAAACUUAUUUUUGGGCUGUCAAUGUUACUUAUUUGUUAGUUUAUUUCUUAGGUUUUGUUGUUUGGGAUAUUAUGUAUUGGAUUUCAUUUCCUUUUGCCUCCGGUAUGGCCCCUAAUAGAACUUGAUGUAAUUCUUUUUGGGAUAUGUUUUUCUGAAUUAGAGAUGACAUCAUUAGCAUCUGGUCUUUCUCUUUGAGACAGCCGAGAGAGUGAGGUGCCAUGAGAGAUGCAAUCGAUGGGGGGGAGAGAGAGGGAGCCGACAAUGAGAGUGGUAAGGAAGAACGUAGCGUGAUGAGAUUAGUGGAUUGGUGAGGAAGAGCGUGAGAGAGAGAUUGUUGCAAUUGAGAAUUUACUGUGACCUUUUAUGC